rnacentral:rRNA from 1 species
CCUACGGGAGGCAGCAGUGAGGAAUAUUGGUCAAUGGGAGGAAUCCUGAACCAGCCAUGCCGCGUGCAGGACGACGGCUCUACGAGUUGUAAACUGCUUUUGUACCGGGGUAAAAUGCUCUACGAGUAGGGUUUUGAAAGUACGGUACGAAUAAGGAUCGGCUAACUCCGUGCCAGCAGCCGCGGUAAUACGGAGGAUCCGAGCGUUAUCCGGAUUCACUGGGUUUAAAGGGUGCGUAGGUUGUUUUAUAAGUUAGCGGUGAAAUACCGAUGCUCAACAUCGGGGCUGCCGCUGAUACUGUAGGACUAGAGAUCGGAUGCAGCAGGCGGAAUGUGUAGUGUAGCGGUGAAAUGCAUAGAUAUCACGCAGAACCCCGAUUGCGAAGGCAGCCUUCCGGCGCCCUACUGACGCUGAGGCACGAAAGUGCGGGGAUCGAACAGGAUUAGAUACCCUUGUAGUC